rnacentral:rRNA from 1 species
GGUUUUCGGUCCGGGGUGCUGGAAGUGGGAGGGGGCGGACGGGAGAGAGGGCCGCUGGUCGUGGCGGCGGCCUGCGGCGGCGGAGGAGGAGGAGGGGCAGAGGGGGCGGUGGGUCGAGACGGGGCGGGGUCGCGCAGCGGUGGGCCGCGGCGGGGUUUGGAGUGGGUCCGCCCUUCCCUCGCCGUGUAGCUCGGCGUAGAGGGGGGUUUGGCGCGGGCGCUGCUCUCCUCGAGGACGUAGGGCGGCCACGGCGGAGUGGGAGGGGGCCAGCGGCGGGAGGCCACGGCGCGGUUCCUUUCCAAAUAAUGGACGUCCUUUCCACCUUCAAAGGAUCCCGAUCUAGUUAUAACUUGGAGCAUCGACGAUGACGACUGCUUAUAGUCUCUUAGUACUUUCGAGGAGUCGUCUUGACAUUUGGUUGACUAUGUCUUCGUUUCCAGUUUGAACCACCAUUAUUCUACGUAACGGACUUCGGUCCGUUUAUAUGGGUGUUUAGUGGUCCGUUACAACCCCGAUUUACAUCUUUUCCUCUACCAGUUAGCAAAUGACCGUCAUUCCAACGUAACCUCCCACCAUCGAAAUACCUUCAUGGUAAAUAGUUAAAUUGUUUGAACAGACGAGUUGGUGGUUUAAUAAGACCUUUCUACUUCGAAGUCAAAAAGGGUUAUCUACUCCGCUGAGUUUUCCAAGAUGUCGUCCUCUUCGUGUUAGGAAUGGACCUCAACUGAAACCGAGGCGCUUUCUUCCACAGGAGAUAACACGUUGUAGACUUGUGUUUUACCCCAGCAAGAUCAACACGUUUUCCGCUAGAGUACGAGAAGGGUAUGUCACGAUGUGGUCUAUCGUAUCGGUCGUCAUUUUUUACCUGAGAAGUACUAAGAACGUGACGACGACUACAAAUACAACGACAACCGUCGGGAAGUUGUAAGGCAAAUUCCAUACCAACCAAGUUCGGAUUAAACUUCGUUGUUUAGUCGCUUAAUAGGAACCGUGGUCACGUGAGACGUCUUUUCUGAAACCCGCUGUUUGGAAGUCUAGGAAAACUCAAAGGUUCAUUUAAAUGGUCAGGUAGGCAACUCACGUUGUGUCUUGUCCGACACCGCCUAUUGGUUUCGUUUCACUGUGGCGAAAGUACCUAACUGUCGUAUAGGUUAUAGUCAAAACCUCGUGACGAUAGCGUUCGACACGGGAGAGUUCUGUCGUUUGUUGACGGAAACGUUUUAUCGAGCUAAAAGGUCGUCGUCUAAGGACGGUGCACGCUAAGUAAGCUACGACGAUAACGAAGGAACUAACGAGCGGUCGUUUGUUCAUCGGUCGGCUUCCACAGUUUAGGUAGGGGAACCCUUCGUCUACUUUGGACAGUACGUAAGGGAGGAGGGGCCUUAGUUUUAAACCGGUCCUACGGGAGAAGACGAGGACCGUUGUCAUCACGAUAAUGGAGUUGAUAGGAACCACGUUAACGACUUAGGCCAUGUCUACCGCUGGUGGUUGUGACCGAUGGUCGCGAGAUGGCUUCCGUCCUCUCUCCUUGGUUCCGGGGGAGUCUAUGAUGGUCCGAACCCUUUAUUACUAUUACACUUAGGACUACACAGCAGCUACGGACUUAGGUGGCCGCUACCCCGUAAAAUGCUGCGAUCCGACAACUCACCUUGACUGUCAAAUCCCGAUUCGCCGAACGAAUCGUUUGUCGAACCUACGCCAGGGCUUCAAUACACAAAGCAUUCCGAGCCUUUAAAAUGUACCUUCUGGACUUCGAUAUAUAUCUAGGACAUUUCUAUCUAGUAGUAAACCCAAAGGACGACGAAGCCAGCCUUAACUAAUGAAACCCGAAUGACUUCGGCUAACACAUCUAUCUAUUAGUCAAUUGCUGUGCACAAUCAGCGUAUUUGAUGAAAAAAGAAAGAAUGACCGGCGGUGAACACUAAAAGCUUAAACAGAUACUAGACGAACCGAUGAGCGGUAAAAGAGACGUAGGACAUACGUAAGGUGGCUUACAAACCGUUUACAAACUUUGAAACCGAAGUUAUAAACAUACAUUUUGGCUCAGUAGCGUUAAAACGUCUCCUGCCCGAUUACGGUAGGGACGCGGGUUGAAAAGAAUAUGACAUCGACACCGUUAGGUCUAAAUUAUGGCUAGUGCUCUCAUACAAAAAAAAAAGAGAUCGAUUUAUGACAUCAUUGAUUACAUCAUUUUUAGUAGAAUAUGGUGCUCGUAAGAUCGUAGAGAUGAACCCCUGCUGUUUGGCUAGCUUCACUUCCCCCCUUAUUUGGUACUCUACUUUAUUUGGUUUUG